AUUGAACGCUGGCGGCAGGCCUAACACAUGCAAGUCGAGCGGAUGAAGGGAGCUUGCUCCUGGAUUCAGCGGCGGACGGGUGAGUAAUGCCUAGGAAUCUGCCUGGUAGUGGGGGAUAACGUCCGGAAACGGGCGCUAAUACCGCAUACGUCCUGAGGGAGAAAGUGGGGGAUCUUCGGACCUCACGCUAUCAGAUGAGCCUAGGUCGGAUUAGCUAGUUGGUGGGGUAAAGGCCUACCAAGGCGACGAUCCGUAACUGGUCUGAGAGGAUGAUCAGUCACACUGGAACUGAGACACGGUCCAGACUCCUACGGGAGGCAGCAGUGGGGAAUAUUGGACGAUGGGCGAAAGCCUGAUACAGCCAUGCCGCGUGUGUGAAGAAGGUCUUCGGAUUGUAAGGCACUUUAAGUUGGGAGGAAGGACAGUAAGUUAAUACCUUGCUGUUUUGACGUUACCAACAGAAUAAGCACCGGCUAACUUCGUG
rnacentral:rRNA from 1 species